UACGUAGGGACCAAGCGUUGUUCGGAUUUACUGGGCGUAAAGGGCGCGUAGGCGGCAGAUCAAGUCAGUUGUGAAAUCUCUGGGCUUAACUCAGAACUGUCAACUGAUACUGUUUUGCUAGAGUGCGGAAGGGGCAAUCGGAAUUCUCGGUGUAGCGGUGAAAUGCGUAGAUAUCGAGAGGAACACCAGAGGUGAAGACGGGUUGCUGGGCCGACACUGACGCUGAGGCGCGAAAGCUAGGGGAGCAAACGGG
rnacentral:rRNA from 1 species